UCCCUCCGUGACGGGAUAACUCCCUCUCGUGACAUCACUGCCGCGGGUGACGUCACAGCAGCGCGGGAAGUACGUAACUUGGCGACCGGCUGUCGCGCGCGGCGCUCACAGUACAGUUACAGACAGGUGUUCGUUCGGUCGCUACUGUACGUUCGUUUUGUACGCCGGUCAGGCGCCAGUGUGUUUUACAGGUGCACAUGGAUUAAUUUUCACUAAUCGGUCUGAUGGUGCUCUUGGAUUGAAGACAGUGAUGACAUGAGGCUUCACAGUUGUCUUGUGCUGCUGAUGUGUCUGUCCCACUCCCAGGGCUUCCAGUGUUCCACCUCUCCCUUAUACUAGUCAGAUUCCGGAAUACACUGUUUGUACGCCAGAGAAUGGGGGAGAGAGCCACCUCAAUGAUGCAUCACAUACUGAAGGUAGUAGAAACCAUUCUAUAAAUAAUUAUGUGCAUUUUAUUUCCUCAUAGAAUAAAAAUUUCCUACUCUAUCGAGUAGGAAAAUUCUAAAAUGAUUCAUUUUUUCUGACAGUGACCUCAUUUUAGCUCCCUAGAAUUGCAUUUUAAAUAGUAUCAAUCCUUGUCAGUGAAUCAUUUCACUGCUGAAACUACUUCAGUCUUUGAUGUCAUUGUGUAAAGCACACGUGAUUCAACAUUACUCAGGUUCUCAUAGUUAUUGUUAAAAAACAUACUUUGUUUUUAAUUUCAUUAAAUUUUCGUUAAUUUUCUUCUUCAAGUAUUAUCAUGUACAAGAGUUGGAAAUGUACAGAAAAUAAUUUUUUGCCAAGUGCUGGUUCCUAUCAAAAUUAUCUCACUAAAAAUAUUUAAAUCUCACUAACUUUUGAUUAAACUCAUAUUAAGUUAUAAAGCAAAAACCCAUGUUGAAGUCACUUUAACUCUCUGCAACUUUCUUAUUGACAUUUUUUUUUUGUAGAAUAAAGACUUAAGGCACUGUAGACGAGAUUGUCGAAAAACGUAUUCCCAUAAGAGUUUUCUCGAAAAUUACCAAUCGACAAGAGCAUGUAUGUUAUUAACGGUAACAGACAGCAAAGUUAUAAGAACAAGAGAUGUAAACAGUUUUAUCAGCUUUAAUUUUCUAUACAUGUACAUUUUAUGUUGGACCCACCCCUACUGAGAUAUAGAUGAAAACCCCAAAAAGGGACCAUUUAAACCCCUGUCGCACUCUUCUGCUACCCAUGUAGGUAAGGAUUAGUACGUGUCACUACCACACCACCCUUAAUCAACAUCCUACACUUGGUUUCUCCGUUAUCUCCUUCCUUUUAGACCAUUUGAUGAGUAGACUAUUCGCAAUUAGUAAUAAUAUGCUGAUUAAAUGUAGGUAAAUAAUACUUUAUCACUAUUUUCUGUUCUUUUUUCAUGGUGUGUUUUUAGUAUAAAGUGUCAAACUAGUUGCUGCAUAUUUUUUAUUAUUUGUUACUUUUUACCACAUUUAUUUAUUUGGUCACAUUUUCUAAAAGUUUGAAUAAGUAUAAUUUCUAAGUAUAAUUUUCAUUAACAUGGUGUCAGCUGUUGUUAUGUAGCAGCUAACCAUGUGAACACUGAGAAUUAGUGGUCCAAGAUUUUUUCGAUAGUAGAAGUACUUAAUUAUUUAAUAAUUAAACGUAGUUACAAGCUCAUUACUGCAACCAUUCAUUAGCGGGCUGGAAGUUUAAACUAUUAUCAUAGUAAGGUGACCUUGGCCAAACUAUAAUUUGAGAUAAGCACCUCGGGUGGAAAUAAUCAAUCGUGUAAUGGCUUAGGAUAAUACUCGUUUGACAAGAAAGGGAAUUUGUUGGAUUAUAAGAGUGAUCAAGUAAUAAAAGAUAUAGAAUGGAUUGAGAGAAUGUUGACACCUCUCGAUUUGCACAAACCCAACUGGAAAGCGAGUUUUUGCCUGCCAGCCGUUUCACCUGCUGUUACUAAAGUGGUUCCUAAUGAGUGCGAUAACCGUACACAAGAUUAUCUAGUUAAAAGAUUACUGGUUAAAACAUAGCUUUGACGCCGAAGUUCAUUAUAACCGAGAAAUAAUUGGCGCAUGAAUAAUUCAGUAGCAAUUACGAAAGAAAAAACAUUGCACGCUUAAUUCUUUCUUGAACAGAGGUUUGGGGUUUGUGAGUGUAUAAAAUGUGUGUACAUUUCUGUUAAAAUAAUACCUUACAGAGAGUAAAAUAUUUUAUAAGAGAUGAUGACGAACUUAAGUAGCACUUUUAUACAAACUAAUUACACUCAGUAACAGAAAGAUAAAUAAAGUGGUGCCUGGUAGGAAGGCACAGUCCAUUGCUUUUAAUUUAAAAGCCACAUUCAAUCACUUGAAUAAUUAAACAUCUUUUAAUUUGGGGUUUAAGUAAAAUUCUUGUUGCCUCACUUAUUAGGAUAGGGAAGGCAAUGAAGAUUAUAGUCAAACUUUUGAUGUGGGUCUUAACCAAUAAUACAUAGUCCUGAAAUUAUAUAUUGACUUGUUUCUUUUGCAUUCGCACGAGAGGAAAUUGUUUUGAAUCUCAACUAAUUGUUAUAUAAAAAUAUAAUUAAAUGUGUACUUCUCAAAUAUGCUUUUGUGUUGUAAGUUUAUUCUUCUUUUAAAGUUAUUUUAUAUGAAGCAUAUAAUGUUGUCAGCAUUCGUAAAGAAAUGUGGAAACGGGAAUGCCAUGUUUGUUGAACAAAUUGAAUUGGUAAACAAUGUUGAGUUGAAUUGAUUAAAUAUGUUGCGUUCAUUGAUGCCAAAAUAUUUUGUCAUGUUUGGACAAAAACUGACCUAUGACACAGUAGAAUAGUUCGUCACAGGAUACUCGCAGAUGACUCAUAUGGUUCAGUCAGGAAACCAACAUCCUUGAUCGUAGUUGUCAAUAAGGCAACUCUGUUGGGAACACAGUUUCCAUCAAGCAAGGAACUGGUUCCUUGUUUGCACACAAGGAACAUUUUUGGGAAUUCCUAUUAACAAUAUAGAAUCUUUAAACAGUGAGAUAUUUUUUAUUAUCAAUUGUCCUCAAAUAGGCGUACAUUACUCAAAAGAGUAGAAAAAACUGGUCUUGGAGAAAGUUGCAACUAACUUGCUCCACAUUCAAAUAAAAACAUGCUAUCCCAAUAUGGCAAGGGUAACCUGUUACUUGUGACAAUAUUUAUGUCUUUCCAAUCUUUAUGAAAUUGUAUAUAAAUGAAAGAAUAAAUAUCGGAAGUACCCAAAAUGUACCGGAGUAAGGAUUUUUUCUGUUGGUAAAUUGAUAUGGAGCAAGUGUAGCUAUUUAAUUAUGAUGGAUACCUUAAUUAAUGUGAUUGUCAACAUGGUCAACUGAUAAAUAUAACAUGGUCAUUUAUAGAUUAUUAUUAGGGUAAAUAACAAAUUGUUGGAGUCAAUGUUUUCAAUAGUAGUUUUGUAUUGAGUAAAUACUAAAAUUAUACAACUAGAAAUCCAAUGAAGUUUUACAUUUUUUAAUUCUGAAAGAACGGAUAGUCAGACGUUUUCACCAAGUACGUUGUUUACGGAUAGUCAGACGUUUCCACCAAGUACGUAGUUUACGGAUAGUCAGACGUUUCCACCAAGUACGUUGUUUACGGAUAGUCAGACGUUUCCACCAAGUACGUUGUGUACGGAUAGUCAGACGUUUUCACCAAGUACGUUGUUUACGGAUAGUCAGACGUUUCCACCAAGUACGUUGUUUACGGAUAGUCAGACGUUUCCACCAAGUACGUUGUGUACGGAUAGUCAGACGUUUUCACCAAGUACGUUGUUUACGGAUAGUCAGACGUUUCCACCAAGUACGUUGUUUACGGAUAGUCAGACGUUUUCACCAAGUACGUUGUUUACGGAUAGUCAGACGUUUCCACCAAGUACCUUGUUUACAUCAAAACUGUUAUGCAAAACUAAACAUUUUAUUAGACUCAGUUGAGAAAUUGGCCAGCAAAAGAUGAUGGUUAUUGGUGUCGAGAAACGAGUUUUGAAGGCCACCCGACAGCCUAGAGAACUGGAAACUGGUUGUACAACUGACUGACCACUUACAUGUUUUAUGUGCAAUCACUAGUAAUUCUAAAAACCAAUCAGCUGGCACAGAAACUGUCCAAGUUUAUACGGGUUUUAUACAUGAAACAACUGGUAACUAUUCAUUAUUAACGAUUUAUAUUUUGUAUUAACAGUAACAUGUGACCAAACAUACAAAAUCAGUUAACUUGAGCAUUAACAGUUCUUGCAUAUUGUGAGAUUAUAAGGCUGGCUCUCAUUUUACAUGAUUGUGCCCUAUCCGGAUGGUACAUGGCAGAGAUUAUUUCAUAUGUACACGUAGUGGGGUACACAAUAACACAUCAACACACAAAGAUACACAUAGCAAUAUUAACUUCACAAUGACAACCAGAUAAGUUACUUAUAAACUGAGUACGAAUACAAUUUUAUAAUCAACAAAUGCCAUAAGACACUUUAAUAUAGGCGAUCAAAAAAACCUAUGGAGUUAUGUGAAAACAACCCAAAGUCUGAAUAAAUUGUUCACUUUCUGUGCACAAAAUGUACUUUAUUAAGACUUUUUCAUUAAAAAUAUUGUUGUGUUAAUUCAAUUUUAUAACUACUGUUAAUCAUAUUACGGUGUCCGCCAUAUAGGUUAUGUUUCAUUUGCAUUUAGCUUAAAUCUGCUACAACAAUACUGUUACAUUUGCAGAUUUUGAAAAGUAUUAUGGGUUCCCGGUCAUUCUAAUGGCACAGGAUGUCGUUUAAUACAUACUUAGAACUCGAAGUGUGUGGGAGAAGAGUUGAGGAUUCCAAAUAGUUUAGUGUAAUUUCAAUUUCCAACAUACGGGUUGUCUAUUUGAAAGCACCAAUAAACAACAAGAAUUACCCAAAUGAACACCCAUUCAUGAGUAGUGAUUGUAUUGUUAACAAUACAAUAGAAAUGAAUGAAAACAAAUAAAGUGAGAUAUAGCAAUUUUUGCAAGUCUUGAAGUGGAAAAUGUUUAUAUAAGCUAGUAAUUGUCAGCAAAAAAAAAAUUCUAUUGAUUAUUAUAACUUAAUUAUAAUUUUUUUCAACACUUGAUAGUAAAUUGCAAAGUUAAAUUGCUUAAAGAUAUAAUGUAACCAAAAGUACAGUGUUUAUUAAUGGGAUCAUGUCUAUGUAUUGGAAUGUAAUACUAUUUUUCUUUAAUAAAUUGUUCUACUUUUCUGUGUGUAUACAAUACAAUAGAAAGCAAAAUUGACAGCAAUAACUUCUCAUCAAACAAACUAUGAGAGCCUAAGAAGAUAAAUAUUCAGAAAAAAUUGUAUUAUUUUUAUUAGGUUUCUAAAAAAAUUUCUGAUUAAUUUGUUUAAUUUCUGACUAAGCAAUAUGGUGAUGAGCUACAUUUUGCAGCUAAAAUUGAAUUAGAUUGUACUUUAGUUUGUUCCAACAAUUUACAAAGAGAAAUUUUACAAAAACUAACCGAAAUCAUUACUAUUUAUACAAGUCAA
rnacentral:lncRNA from 1 species